AACUCCAUAUUUUAAAAGACUUGUUAUUAGUUCUGUAGGUCUAACCCUUGCUGUACCACUGUCAAGUGUUUUGGAUGAGUAAAAUUUUGUGUGCUAAUCCUAUCCCCAGCAAAGGCAACUAGAAACUGUAUUUCCCUGUCUGUACCAUUUAGGUAACACUUAUUUUGACCAACCUUUGAGAAGGAGAAAUAAGUUACAUUCAUCAAAUUAUUUGAAAACUCAGAGCAUUAUAAAGAAAUUUGUUAACAGAACUUGUGAAGAACACACCUUUGGUGAAAAAGACAUUCUCCACUCAUCCAUUUGGCUGAAAUUAAGACAAGAAACAGCUGAAUAGGUCCUACAGUGCAUUUGCAUUCCCCUGCAUUCAACAGGCAAACCUACAUCUAAUAAUAAAUACUGAAGAGAACAGAAUGAGUCCAUGGGUGUCAAUGUUUCUGGAGUCAUGUAAUGACAAGAAAAACUCACCUGUUGUAUUAAGUGAAAGCAGUUGCUGGAGAUAAAGCCACUUAAAUAAGGAGCCUACCACGUUCCUUACCAGCUCUGGGUUAUGAAGGUGGGUUAAAACGCAGUUCAAUACAAUGCAUGUUGCAAACAUCUAAUCACAAGCAGACAAAAGAAGUCUGCACUAGACAGUGCUCCACUCUCAGUCUCCUAUAAAAACACAGAUGGUAAAAUGUUUCUUUGGCCACUGAUGCUACUUGAUCAUUGCCAACAGCUAGAAAUCCAGUAGGAUUUGUAGCUCAUGAAUACUUCCACAAAUUUUCUGGUAGUUUCCCUUAAACUAGAACCAGUAUUUUCUUUCUUUUCUUUUGACUGAGCUUCUGCCAACCAACUUACUUUUGUGCAGCAACCACUUCUCCAAAAUACAGUGACAGACUGCUCAGACCAUCUUAAAAGAAAAAAUCUUGUGUUGAUAGGAUUAUGACAGCAACAAGCCUGUAGCUCUCUAUUCCUGUUGGAUUUUGAUGCCAGGAGAGUUCCCCUAGGAGAUAAGAACUUCUUCAAACUCCCUGGGGGAAUGUUUUGCAGGAAAGGAACACUUCAAAUCUGGUUUGUCCGCUGAACCAACAGUACUAAAAGUCUGUUCGAAUGCUAUAGCAAACACAUGAAGUACAGCACAGGCAAGUAACU